rnacentral:rRNA from 1 species
AGAGUUUGAUCAUGGCUCAGGACGAACGCUGGCGGCGUGCCUAAUACAUGCAAGUGGAACGCACUUAUAUCACCGGAGCUUGCUCCGCCGAGAUAAGUGAGUCGCGAACGGGUGAGUAACGCGUAGGUAACCUGCCUCAUAGCGGGGGAUAACUAUUGGAAACGAUAGCUAAUACCGCAUAACAACAUUUAUCGCAUGGUAGAUGUUUGAAAGGAGCAAUUGCUUCACUAUGAGAUGGACCUGCGUUGUAUUAGCUAGUUGGUGGGGUAACGGCUCACCAAGGCAUCGAUACAUAGCCGACCUGAGAGGGUGAUCGGCCCACACUGGGACUGAGACACGGCCCAGACUCCUACGGGAGGCAGCAGUAGGGAAUCUUCGGCAAUGGGGGCAACCCUGACCGAGCAACGCCGCGUGAGUGAAGAAGGUUUUCGGAUCGUAAAGCUCUGUUGUAAGAGAAGAACUGUGAGAAGAGUGGAAAGUUUCUCACUUGACGGUAUCUUACCAGAAAGGGACGGCUAACUACGUGCCAGCAGCCGCGGUAAUACGUAGGUCCCAAGCGUUGUCCGGAUUUAUUGGGCGUAAAGCGAGCGCAGGCGGUUUGAUAAGUCUGAAGUAAAAGGCUGUGGCUUAACCAUAGUACGCUUUGGAAACUGUCAAACUUGAGUGCAGAAGGGGAGAGUGGAAUUCCAUGUGUAGCGGUGAAAUGCGUAGAUAUAUGGAGGAACACCGGUGGCGAAAGCGGCUCUCUGGUCUGUAACUGACGCUGAGGCUCGAAAGCGUGGGGAGCGAACAGGAUUAGAUACCCUGGUAGUCCACGCCGUAAACGAUGAGUGCUAGGUGUUGGGUCCUUUCCGGGACUCAGUGCCGCAGCU